rnacentral:tRNA from 1 species
GCUGGGGUGGCGAAAUUGGUAGACGCCCGGGAUUUAAGUCCCCGUGCAGUGGUCCUGCGUGUGAGUUCGAGUCUCUCUCCCAGCACCA